rnacentral:pre_miRNA from 1 species
GCAAAAAUACCCCGGAUGAAGUGAGGAGACACAGACGAGCGCAGUUUGCGCUCGUUUGUGUUUCCUCACUUCGUCCGGUGUAUGUUUGC